AUUGAACGCUGGCGGCAUGCUUUACACAUGCAAGUCGAACAGCAGCACGGGUGCUUGCACCUGGUGGCGAGUGGCGAACGGGUGAGUAAUGCAUCGGAACGUAUCCAAGAGUGGGGGAUAACGCAUCGAAAGGUGUGCUAAUACCGCAUACGCCCUGAGGGGGAAAGUGGGGGACCGCAAGGCCUCACGCUGAUGGAGCGGCCGAUGUCUGAUUAGCUAGUUGGUGAGGUAAAGGCUCACCAAGGCGACGAUCAGUAGCUGGUCUGAGAGGAUGAUCAGCCACACUGGGACUGAGACACGGCCCAGACUCCUACGGGAGGCAGCAGUGGGGAAUUUUGGACAAUGGGGGCAACCCUGAUCCAGCCAUGCCGCGUGAGUGAAGAAGGCCUUCGGGUUGUAAAGCUCUUUCGCGAGGGAAGAAAACUUAGUUCUUAAUACGAGCUGAGGAUGACGGUACCUUGAUAAGAAGCACCGGCUAACUACGUGCCAGCCGCCGCCGUAACAC
rnacentral:rRNA from 1 species